GGCCAGACUCCUACGGGAGGCAGCAGUGGGGAAUAUUGCACAAUGGGGGAAACCCUGAUGCAGCGACGCCGCGUGAGUGAAGAAGUAUUUCGGUAUGUAAAGCUCUAUCAGCAGGGAAGAAAAUGACGGUACCUGACUAAGAAGCCCCGGCUAACUACGUGCCAGCAGCCGCGGUAAUACGUAGGGGGCAAGCGUUAUCCGGAUUUACUGGGUGUAAAGGGAGCGCAGACGGCUGUGCAAGUCUGGAGUGAAAGGCGGGGGCCCAACCCCCGGACUGCUCUGGAAACUGUAAAGCUGGAGUGCAGGAGAGGUAAGCGGAAUUCCUAGUGUAGCGGUGAAAUGCGUAGAUAUUAGGAGGAACACCAGUGGCGAAGGCGGCUUACUGGACUGCAACUGGCGUUGAGGCUCGAAAGCGUGGGGAGCAAACAGGAUUAGAUACCCGAGUACA
rnacentral:rRNA from 1 species